CUUCUUUCCUCCCGAGUGCUUGCACUCAAUUGGAAAGAGGAGUGGCGGACGGGUGAGUAACACGUGGGUAACCUACCCAUCAGAGGGGGAUAACACUUGGAAACAGGUGCUAAUACCGCAUAACAGUUUAUGCCGCAUGGCAUAAGAGUGAAAGGCGCUUUCGGGUGUCGCUGAUGGAUGGACCCGCGGUGCAUUAGCUAGUUGGUGAGGUAACGGCUCACCAAGGCCACGAUGCAUAGCCGACCUGAGAGGGUGAUCGGCCACACUGGGACUGAGACACGGCCCAGACUCCUACGGGAGGCAGCAGUAGGGAAUCUUCGGCAAUGGACGAAAGUCUGACCGAGCAACGCCGCGUGAGUGAAGAAGGUUUUCGGAUCGUAAAACUCUGUUGUUAGAGAAGAACAAGGACGUUAGUAACUGAACGUCCCCUGACGGUAUCUAACCAGAAAGCCACGGCUAACUACGUGCCAGCAGCCGCGGUAAUACGUAGGUGGCAAGCGUUGUCCGGAUUUAUUGGGCGUAAAGCGAGCGCAGGCGGUUUCUUAAGUCUGAUGUGAAAGCCCCCGGCUCAACCGGGGAGGGUCAUUGGAAACUGGGAGACUUGAGUGCAGAAGAGGAGAGUGGAAUUCCAUGUGUAGCGGUGAGAUGCGUAGAUAUAUGGAGGAACACCAGUGGCGAAGGCGGCUCUCUGGUCUGUAACUGACGCUGAGGCUCGAAAGCGUGGGGAGCAAGCAGGAUUAGAUACCCUGGUAGUCCACGCCGUAAACGAUGAGUGCUAAGUGUUGGAGGGUUUCCGCCCUUCAGUGCUGCAGCAAACG
rnacentral:rRNA from 1 species